UAUUUUUCUACAUUAACGAACGUUCUUAUCAUAAAAGUAUUUAUCAAGUUAUCUUUGGUUAAGUAAUCUAAGAAAGUUGAUGACUGAUGAGAACAUGGUUGGCAAUUCACAAAGCAAAAAUCAAACAGCAAGAAAAAACCCAACAAGCCAAAACCAAACACAACAAACUAUUGACCAAUUCUUUUUGGAGUUGGCGCGUCAAGUUUCCGAUCAAUGGACAAUGUUGGCAACCGACCUGAAGGUUGAUAAUCCCAAAAUAAGAGAAAUUGAAGCAGAUCAACGUGGUGUUGUCUGGCAAGGAUAUAAUAUGCUAAAGUAUUGGUGGGAGUCACGUGAAGAUAAUGAGCUUUUCUGGUUCUGUGAACUGGCAAAUGCUAUUAAGAAUCUAGGCAAACAAGAAUUGGCCAAAACGAUUAUCAAAAAAGGCCCAAAUUUCUGCAAAUAAGAUUUUUCUUUGAUGUCCGUCGCUUUAGUUUAACUUACAAAAUAUUUAUGUUUUCUUGCACAAAAUUUUUUCUACUCCUGAGAAUUUGACAUAACUUCUAACAACAACACAUGCACAGUAAUGCACGAAUAGAAUAACAUAUUGAUCCAACAUUGAAAUUUUAUAAAGUGUUAACUUUUCUAAAGGUCUUUUUAUGCACCCCGAAUAAUUAAAACAUUUUAAGUCGUAAAGACAAAUUUAAGGGGUUAAUUAAGAGAUGAUUUUAAAAAUAUUCGAAAUCAAACAAUUAUCGAACAAAUGCAUAAAAUGUUUCUUAUUUGUUUCAAAUGCGAAUGAAAUUCAAAAAUUAUUUUACAAACACAUCGCUGCUCGUUCGAUUAUUGUUAACAGUUGAAGUUAAGUUUUUAUUUAAAAUUUCUAAAAUAUUCAUGCUAUCAUGAAGCUGAUAAAAACACCUACAGUAAUUUUCAUUAGGUAAGUUGAUUGAAUCAAAUGGAAAAUAUUAUAGAGCGAAUAAAAAUAAAAUCUUUUGCAUAGAAUAACAUUGUCCUUAGAAAUUUCGCAAAGGAGAAAUUAAAACCGUACGGUUUUCACAUCAACAUUAUUUUUUCUGGAUUAUCAUUUUUUGAAAUAUUUUAUUAUCAGUGAACCAAGUCCAAGUCUAAACACAACUAUUAUAAACACGUGACUCCCGUUGUUGUAACACGUGAUAACCACCUGUCAGUGAACAUUUACAAUACACAAUGGGGGUUCCCCAUUGCGGUAUAGCUAUUCUAACAUUCUUGCUAGAUUGCCGAAUUUUGUAGUUGAAACACGUAUUUAUCAAGUUUUCUCUUGUUAAGCUUUAACAACAAUAAAAUUCAAUCCACUUUUCACGUCGUAAAGUCUAAAGACAUAAUGGGUGAGUACAUGAGGUGUUCACCAUAUCCUUCUCAAGAGACUGCAGAGCCAUCCCGUGAAGAAACGCAAGCAGGUAUAAACGAAAACCGCGAAAACCAGGAAGGAACAGACGAAAACCGACGAAAAAAACACGAAAACCAAAUAAAACGAAAUAUUGACAAAUUCUUGCUGGAAUUGGCAGAGGAAGUUCCAGACAAAUGGCAAUUUUUGGCCGUACACCUGAAUAUUGGUAGUAAAAUAAUAAAACAGAUUAAAUUAGACCAACAAGGUGUUGUCCAACAAGGACAUACUAUGCUGCGGGAGUGGUUUGACUUACAAGAUAUUAGUAAGCAGUCCUGGUACAAGGAACUGGCAGAUGCUUUUGAAAGUAUAGGUAAAAAAGCUUUGGUUCAAAUGAUCAUCACUAAAGGCCGAAAAUUUCACGAAGAAUAUAGAACACUUUCAUAAAUUCAUAUUUUUGUCAAACCACAAUACAAUCUUUUUAUUCUUAA